CCAUCAUUUAAAGAAAGCGUAAUAGCUCACUGGUCGAGUCGGCCUGCGCGGAAGAUGUAACGGGGCUAAACCAUGCACCGAAGCUGCGGCAGCGACACUAUGUGUUGUUGGGUAGGGGAGCGUUCUGUAAGCCUGCGAAGGUGGCCUGUGAGGGUUGCUGGAGGUAUCAGAAGUGCGAAUGCUGACAUAAGUAACGAUAAAGCGGGUGAAAAGCCCGCUCGCCGGAAGACCAAGGGUUCCUGUCCAACGUUAAUCGGGGCAGGGUGAGUCGACCCCUAAGGCGAGGCCGAAAGGCGUAGUCGAUGGGAAACGGGUUAAUAUUCCCGUACUUGGUGUUACUGCGAAGGGGGGACGGAGAAGGCUAUGUUGGCCGGGCGACGGUUGUCCCGGUUUAAGCGUGUAGGUGUGUGUUCCAGGUAAAUCCGGUUCACUUUAACACUGAGGCGUGACGACGAGGCACUACGGUGCUGAAGCAACAAAUGCCCUGCUUCCAGGAAAAGCCUCUAAGCAUCAGGUAACAUCAAAUCGUACCCCAAACCGACACAGGUGGUCAGGUAGAGAAUACCAAGGCGCUUGAGAGAACUCGGGUGAAGGAACUAGGCAAAAUGGUGCCGUAACUUCGGGAGAAGGCACGCUGACACGUAGGUGAAGUGAUUUACUCACGGAGCUGAAGUCAGUCGAAGAUACCAGCUGGCUGCAACUGUUUAUUAAAAACACAGCACUGUGCAAACACGAAAGUGGACGUAUACGGUGUGACGCCUGCCCGGUGCCGGAAGGUUAAUUGAUGGGGUCAGCGCAAGCGAAGCUCCUGAUCGAAGCCCCGGUAAACGGCGGCCGUAACUAUAACGGUCCUAAGGUAGCGAAAUUCCUUGUCGGGUAAGUUCCGACCUGCACGAAUGGCGUAAUGAUGGCCAGGCUGUCUCCACCCGAGACUCAGUGAAAUUGAACUCGCUGUGAAGAUGCAGUGUACCCGCGGCAAGACGGAAAGACCCCGUGAACCUUUACUAUAGCUUGACACUGAACAUUGAGCCUUGAUGUGUAGGAUAGGUGGGAGGCUUUGAAGCGUGGACGCCAGUCUGCGUGGAGCCGACCUUGAAAUACCACCCUUUAAUGUUUGAUGUUCUAACG
rnacentral:rRNA from 1 species